GGAGGAAUAGCUCAGUGGUAGAGUACCAUGCUUAGCAUGCAUGAGGUCCUAGGUUCAAUCCCCAAUACCUCCA
rnacentral:tRNA from 1 species